AUUGAACGCUGGCGGCAUGCCUUACACAUGCAAGUCGAACGGCAGCACGGGAGCAAUCCUGGUGGCGAGUGGCGAACGGGUGAGUAAUAUAUCGGAACGUGCCCGGUCGUGGGGAUAACGUAGCGAAAGCUACGCUAAUACCGCAUACGAUCUACGGAUGAAAGCGGGGGAUCGCAAGACCUCGCGCGAUUGGAGCGGCCGAUAUCAGAUUAGGUAGUUGGUGAGGUAAAGGCUCACCAAGCCGACGAUCCUGUAGCUGGUCUGAGAGGACGACCAGCCACACGUGGGACUGAGACGACGGCCAGACUCCGUACGGGA
rnacentral:rRNA from 1 species